rnacentral:rRNA from 1 species
UACGAAGGGGGCUAGCGUUGUUCGGAAUCACUGGGCGUAAAGCGCACGUAGGCGGACCGUUAAGUCGGAGGUGAAAGCCUGGGGGCUCAACCCCAGAACUGCCUUCGAUACUGGCGGUCUUGAGUAUGGUAGAGGUUGGUGGAACUCCGAGUGUAGAGGUGAAAUUCGUAGAUAUUCGGAAGAACACCAGUGGCGAAGGCGGCCAACUGGACCAUUACUGACGCUGAGGUGCGAAAGCGUGGGGGAGCAAACAGG